UGGGGAAUAUUGCACAAUGGAGGGAACUCUGAUGCAGCGACGCCGCGUGAACGAAGAAGGCUUUCGAGUCGUAAAGUUCUUUUAUAUGGGAAGAUAAUGUCGGUAACAUAAGAAAAAGCCCUGGCUAAUUACGUGCCAGCAGCCGCGGUAAUACGUCGGGGGCUAGCGUUGUCCGGAAUCACUGGGCGUAAAGGGUUCGCAGGCGGAAAUGCAGGUAAAGUGUAAAAGGCAGUAGCUUAACUACUGUGAGCAUUUGAGACUGGAUAUCUUGAGAAGAGAAGAGGUAAGUGGAAUUUUUAGUGUAGCGGUGAAAUGCGUAGAUAUUAAAAAGAAUACCGGUGGCGAAGGCGACUCACUGGGCUCAUUCUGACGCUGAGGAACGAAAGCGUGGGUAGCGAACAGG
rnacentral:rRNA from 1 species